AUCAUAUGAUUCUGUUGCUUCGAUCAAUGCUUUGAAAGAGAGCUGGAACCUGAUGGUUCGUGUCGUCCAUUUGUGGUACGUCAAAGAUCUUGAUUCUUGAAAAUUAUCAUUUUCCAUUGAAAUGGAAAUGAUGUACAAGAAUGGUGAUCAUAUUCAAGUAUGGGUGAAAGGAAGCUAGCAUUUUAUUAUGGGAGAAACAUGUAAAAUAUCAUGGGCCAAAACAUCCAAAAGAAGAUGAUACGAAGAUCAAACAGUAAAGAGAAACUCCCAUAACAUUGUCAACAACUAAAGACUUAACCUCAGUUAUUGUUAGAAGAAUUGUGGUGGAAGGAUUGUGUUCGUGAUAGAAUUUAAGCUAUAUGUGUUAUUAUUUAUAUGUAAAAUAACUGUAAAAAAAAUUG